rnacentral:rRNA from 1 species
CCAGACUCCUACGGAGGCAGCAGUGGGGAAUCUUCCGCAAUGGACGAAAGUCUGACGGAGCAACGCCGCGUGAGUGAUGACGGCCUUCGGGUUGUAAAGCUCUGUUAAUCGGGACGAAAGGCCUUCUUGCGAAUAGUGAGAAGGAUUGACGGUACCGGAAUAGAAAGCCACGGCUAACUACGUGCCAGCAGCCGCGGUAAUACGUAGGUGGCAAGCGUUGUCCGGAAUUAUUGGGCGUAAAGCGCGCGCAGGCGGAUAGGUCAGUCUGUCUUAAAAGUUCGGGGCUUAACCCCGUGAUGGGAUGGAAACUGCCAAUCUAGAGUAUCGGAGAGGAAAGUGGAAUUCCUAGUGUAGCGGUGAAAUGCGUAGAUAUUAGGAAGAACACCAGUGGCGAAGGCGACUUUCUGGACGAAAACUGACGCUGAGGCGCGAAAGCCAGGGGAGCGAACGGGAUUAGAUACCCCGGUAGUCCUGGCCGUAAACGAUGGGUACUAGGUGUAGGAGGUAUCGACCCCUUCUGUGCCGGAGUUAACGCAAUAAGUACCCCGCCUGGGGAGUACGACCGCAAGGUUGAAACUCAAAGGAAUUGACGGGGGCCCGCACAAGAAGG